UUCUCACCUGACUGCUCCCUGGUCUCACAUGAUGUUUCUUCCCACAGGAGGACAAGGAGGAAGCUACACUCAGGCUGCAGGCAGCCACAGUCCCAGUGCUCCGAAGUGUAUCUCAGUCCCUAAAGUGUGAUACAGCCUUGUGUUGGCCUGAGUGUUACAGGAUUUCUUUUUGCCCACAUUUUCUGGCUUUAUGAUCUCCUGGUUUAAACCUUCACACCUGUGAGAAUGGCCCAUAUCCAAAAGACCAGAAACUCAAGUGCUGGCAAGGAUGUGGAAAAAAGGGGGCAGUCCUGCAUUGUGUUUGGAUAUAGACUGAGCCAGCCCUUAUGGAAACAGUACGGAGGUUUCUUAAAAGAGUGAAUGUGGUUCUGCCAUUGGACCCAGCAAUUCUACACUGAGGAUCUCCUCACAGAGGAUAAAUACUCUCCUGUGAAGGGACCUGCACUCCCGUCACCACUGCAGCACUUUUUACAGUAGCCAAGCUAUGGGAACCUCCUACAUGCCUCCAAAGAGGUGGGAAAUUAAGAAGAAGCUGGGAUUACGUGCAUACAUAUAUGUACAUAUACAGGUGAUGCCAAAGGAGAUGAA